rnacentral:rRNA from 1 species
CCUACGGGGGGCAGCAGUGAGGAAUAUUGGUCAAUGGUCGCGAGCCUGAACCAGCCAAGUAGCGUGAAGGAUGACUGCCCUACGUGUUGUAAACUUCUUUUGUAAGGGAAUAAAGUCAGGCACGUGUGCCUUUUUGUAUGUACUUUAUGAAUAAGGAUCGGCUAACUCCGUGCCAGCAGCCGCGGUAAUACGGAGGAUCCGAGCGUUAUCCGGAUUUAUUGGGUUUAAAGGGAGCGUAGAUGGGUUGUUAAGUCAGUGGUGAAAGUUUGCGGCUCAACCGUAAAAUUGCAAUUGAUACUGGCAGUCUCGAGUACAGUUGAGGUAGGCGGAAUUCGUGGUGUAGCGGUGAAAUGCUUAGAUAUCACGAAGAACUCCGAUUGCGAAGGCAGCUUACCAACUCGCCACUGACAUUGAUGCUCGAAAGUGUGGGUAUCAAACAGGAUUAGAUACCCGAGUAGUC